rnacentral:lncRNA from 1 species
AAAGUGUGUGCUUAGAUUUUUGAUCCGUCAAAAAACAUGGCCACCGUUACUUAAAAUAGAACAUAGGGGUCAAAUGCAGUUUUUGGCUUAUAUCUCAAAAACGAAAGCAUUUAGAGCAAAUCUGAGAUGGGGUAAAAAUGUUCAUUAGGUCAAGAUCUAUCAGCCCUGAAAUUUUCAGAUGAAUCAAACAAACCAUUGUUGGGUUGCUGCCACUUAAUUGGUAAUUUUAAGGAAAUUUUGCAGUUUUUGGUCAUUAUCUUGAAUAUUAUUAUAGAUAAAGAUAAACUGUUAACAGCAAAAAUGAUCAGCAAAGUAAGAUCUACAAAUAAG